rnacentral:rRNA from 1 species
UCAUGGCGUCAGAACGAACGCUGGCAGCGUGGAUAGGCAUGCAAGUCGAACGGGAUCGGGAAGGUAGCAAUAUCGGCCCGUGAGAGUGGCGGAAGGGCGAGGAACACGUGGGCAACCUGUCCUUGAGGUGGGGGAAAACCGUUGGGAAACGACGGCUAAUACCGAAGUGUGGCGCCGGGAGGCAUCUCCGCGCGCUAAAGGGGGCCGCAAGGCUCCCCCUCUUCGAGGGGCUCGCGCACCAUCAGCUUGUUGGCGGGGUAACGGCCCACCAAGGCUCACGGUUAGCUGGUCUGAGAGGAUGGCCAGCCGCACUGGGACUGAGAUACUGCCCAGACUCCUACGGGAGGCUGCAGUCGAGGAUCAUUCGCAAUGGGGGAAACCCUGACGAUGCGACGCUGCGUGGAGGGAAUGAAGGCCCUCGGGUCGUAAACUCCUGUCAUGAGGGAAAAGGAGAGGAGGCCUAAUACGUCUCUGAUUUGAUGGUACCUCAAGAGGAACGGGCGGCUAACUCUGUGCCAGCCGCCGC